rnacentral:lncRNA from 1 species
CACCAAACAGGCUAAAUCCCUAAGUAAUUAGUGAAAAACUACAACUAGACAUAUUAUAUUCAAACUGCUGACAACCAAAGAUAAAAAGAAAAUCUCAAAGCCAGCCAGAGAAAAAGGUCAUAUUACAUACAGAGGAACAAAGGAGGGAAGAUGGACCAAGUCCUACAUCUCUUCCAUAGGUGCCCAGGCACCAUCAUCACCAUGCCUCUACCCUCCUUCAUGAUCUUUGACCCACAGCCACAGAAGUAAGCAAUGUCACACUGGGACCUGGACCUUUCUGAAAAGUGACGUGAUCACCUUCAGACUGAGAGCUGAAAGCAGUUUAUAUGCAACACUGUGAAGAACAUCUUGGAACUGAAAUUACUGGAUCUUUAUGAUUUUUCCAGUUUAAUAAAUCUUUGCUGACUCAAAGGUUAUGAAAAUUCUCUGUUUCUCUCUGCAAGGUUUGUUGUUUUACUGUUCACAUUUAGACCCAUAAUCCACAUGGAAGUGAUUUUUUGUGUAUGAUGUGAGUUAGUGGCCAUAGUUUAUUUUUGGCUAUGUGCCUAUCCAGCUGAUACAGCAACGUUUAUUUACAAGACCAUUGUAAAUGGUCUCACUACAAUUCACUAUUAACUUUUCCAAAAAUUUUUAUUAAUUUUUCAUAAAUAUAUAUUUUCAUUUGUUUUUAGAUUCUACUUUUCCAUUGGUCAUUUUGUCCAAACUUGGGCCAAAAUAAUGGUGUCUUAUUUACUGUAUUAUUUAUUACUUAUUUACUAUGGCUUUAUCACAGCUCUGACAUCUGCUUAAUAAGACCUUUAGCUUUGUUCUUCCAAAAUGCCUGGGCUAUUCUUAGCCCUUUGCUCUUCCAUGUGAAUUUUGGAAUCAGCUCAUCAAUUUAAAAAGGAGCAAUAACUGUGAUAUUUAUUAGGAUAGCGUUGAAAGUAUUGAUUAAUUUGGGGAGAACUGUCAUCUUUUCAGUAUUGAGUCUUCUAAGCCAUGAAACGAUAUAUCCCUUAUCUAUUUUGCUCUUGCAUUUCUCUCUUUGGCAUUUUAUAGUUUUACAUGUAGAGAUUUUGUACAUUUUAAUUUAAAUAUAUUCCUAUAUAUUUGAUAUUUUAAUAUAUUUGCUAAUGGCAUUAUCUCUUAAACUUAGUUUUAUACAUAAUUGUGUCUAAUACAUAGAAAUACGGUGGAUUUGGGUUUCUUGAUUGAUCAUGUAGCUAGCAAUCUUUCUCAAUGUACUAUUUUUAAAGUUUUUAUUUUGAAGAAAACUUACAGAAAAGUUGCAAGAAUAGUACAAAGUACUCCUAAAUAUCCACCGACCUUCAUAUUUUGCCACAUUUGUUUUAUUUUAUUCUGUAUAUAAAAUAACAAUACCUAUUAUUAUUUAGCAUCUAUUAUUAUUGUUGUUGCUGAAUUACUUAAGAAUUAACUGCAAACAUUAGGAACAUAUACUCUAAUUAUUGCUGUAUUACCUAUUAAAAAGAACGAUAUUUUCUUACAUAAAAAGAGUAAAAUUAUAAAGGGCGCUAAAUUUAAUUUUCAUACAAUACUAUUAUCUAAUCUGCAGUGUAUUAUCCAGUUUCACCAAUUAUCCCUAUAAUGUCCCUUUUAACAAUUUUAUUUCUCCUGAUCAUGGAUCCCAUCAAGGCUCACACACUGCAUCUGGGUAUAGCAUCUCCUUAGCUUCCUCUGACCUGGAACGGUCCCUCAGUCUUUCUUCGUCUGUCACGACAAUGGAAUUUUUGAGGAGUACAGGCUGGUUAUUUUAUGAACUACCCCUCAAUUUUUGUUUGAAUACUUCCUACAAUUACAUUCAGAUUAUUCAUUUUUGGUAGAAAAUCACAUAAAUGGUGUAAUCUUUUCAGCACAUCACAGUGGGAGAAAUAUGAUGCCAGUUUGUACCAGUAUUGAUUAUGUGAAUUACAUGUUACUCUAUGAUAUUUUGGAUGUAUUGGAUUAAAA